rnacentral:rRNA from 1 species
GAUGAACGCUGGCGGCGUGCUUAACACAUGCAAGUCGAGCGAAGCAGUUAAGAAGAUUCUUCGGAUGAAACUUGAUUGACUGAGCGGCGGACGGGUGAGUAACGCGUGGGUGACCUGCCCCAUACCGGGGGAUAACAGCUGGAAACGGCUGCUAAUACCGCAUAAGCGCACAGAGCUGCAUGGCUCAGUGUGAAAAACUCCGGUGGUAUGGGAUGGGCCCGCGUCUGAUUAGGCAGUUGGCGGGGUAACGGCCCACCAAACCGACGAUCAGUAGCCGGCCUGAGAGGGCGACCGGCCACAUUGGGACUGAGACACGGCCCAAACUCCUACGGGAGGCAGCAGUGGGGAAUAUUGCACAAUGGGGGAAACCCUGAUGCAGCGACGCCGCGUGAGCGAAGAAGUAUUUCGGUAUGUAAAGCUCUAUCAGCAGGAAAGAAAAUGACGGUACCUGACUAAGAAGCCCC